rnacentral:tRNA from 1 species
UAGGCUGAAGCCCUCUGGUUUGGGUGUCUGGUUGUUAAUUAGAAUUUUACGGGAUCAAGGCCCGUCAGUCUAGU